rfam:Salmo salar isolate Sally breed double haploid chromosome ssa01, whole genome shotgun sequence.
AAUGCACCAAUUUGUAAGUCGCUCUGGAUAAGAGCAUCUGCUAAAUUACAUAAA